UACCCGUUUGUGUGUGAUUAUAAAAGCAGCAUAAUCUCGGAGAUUCGAUACAGAAAACAUCAACUGCAGCAUCCUGAUACUAACUCUGAGGAAGUACACCGAAGAUGGAGAAAACUCUCAUCUUGCUGAUGAUAGCCGUUCUAGUGAUGGCACAGCACAGUCCUGUUGCUGGAGAGUCGACCUUUCAAAGGUUCAGAGCACGGUUAGAUGCCUGCCGGAGGAGUGGCGGAAGAUUUCAAACUUCUCCGUGUGCCCCAGACAAGAAGAGCCUCUUUAAAGUCUCUGGGAUUGAAUGCUGCUUACCAAGAAAGUAACAUCUGGUGAUGGAUUGCCGGCAGCCCGACCUCUCCAUAUUCUUACUGAAUGAAAUCUUCGUCGCUGUGAAGCAGGAUCUCUUUGAUAGUGUCAGUCCACCGACCCCUGACCCUGUUUUUGUCCUUUCUGAAUAAUGGGCUGUACGAUGAAAUAAAACUUACUGCAUUGAU